AAAAGAAAAACCAGAACAUCGGCUACAAGCUGGGCCACCGGCGCGCCCUGUUCGAAAAGCGCAAGCGGCUCAGCGACUACGCGCUCAUUUUCGGCAUGUUCGGCAUCGUGGUCAUGGUCAUCGAGACCGAGCUGUCGUGGGGCGCCUACGACAAGGCGUCGCUGUAUUCCUUAGCUCUGAAAUGCCUUAUCAGCCUCUCCACGAUCAUCCUGCUCGGUCUGAUCAUCGUGUACCACGCCAGGGAAAUACAGGUACCAUGAUCAACAGGAUGUUACUAGCAACUUCCUUGGAGCGAUGUGGUUGAUAUCAAUAACUUUUCUCUCCAUUGGUUAUGGUGACAUGGUACCUAACACAUACUGUGGAAAAGGAGUCUGCUUACUUACUGGAAUUAUGGGUGCUGGUUGCACAGCCCUGGUGGUAGCUGUAGUGGCAAGGAAGCUAGAACUUACCAAAGCAGAAAAACACGUGCACAAUUUCAUGAUGGAUACUCAGCUGACUAAAAGAGUAAAAAAUGCAGCUGCCAAUGUACUCAGGGAAACAUGGCUAAUUUACAAAAAUACAAAGCUAGUGAAAAAGAUAGAUCAUGCAAAAGUAAGAAAACAUCAACGAAAAUUCCUGCAAGCUAUUCAUCAAUUAAGAAGUGUAAAAAUGGAGCAGAGGAAACUGAAUGACCAAGCAAACACCUUGGUGGACUUGGCAAAGACCCAGAACAUCAUGUAUGAUAUGAUUUCUGACUUAAACGAAAGGAGUGAAG
rnacentral:sRNA from 1 species